rnacentral:lncRNA from 1 species
AUGCCGGAACCAAUCAACGUAACAGUAACUACAAUGGAUGCUGAGCUGGAAAUUUGCCAUUCAGCCCAAAACAACUGGCAAACAACUUUUUGACCAUGUGGUGAAAAUAGUUGGUUUGCGCGAGGUCUGGUUUUUGGGGCUGCAGUAUGUAGACAGCAGAGGUUAUUCUACAUGGCUUCAACUAAAUAAAAAGGUGACGCAGCAAGAUGUUAAAAAAGAGAAGGAUCCUUUACAGUUCAAGUUUAGAGCUAAAUUCUUUCCUGAAGAUGUUUCUGAGGAAUUAAUUCAAGAAAUAACCCAGAGACUCUUCUUCUUGCAAGUUAAAGAAGCCAUCUUAAAGGAUGAGAUAUAUUGUCCGACAGAAACUGCAGUUCUUCUGGCUUCCUAUGCUGUUCAAGCCAAGUAUGGAGAUUAUAACAAAGAAAUUCAUAACCCAGGCUACCUGGCUAAUGAUAGACUCCUACCCCAACGUAUUGGAACAACACAAACUAACAAGAACAGUGGGAAGAAAGAAUACAGAACUGGCAUGAAAAACAUAGAGGAAUACAAAGGGAGGGUUCUAUGAUGGACUACCUGAAGAUUGCACAAGAUCUAGAAAUGUAUGGAGUCAAGUAUUUUGAAAUAAAAAAAAGGAAACUGAAUUGUGCCUAGGUGUUGAUGCUUUGGGUCUGAAUAUUUAUGAGCAUGAUGACAAGUUAACACCUAAAACUGGUUUUCCGUGGAGUGAAAUCAGAAAUGUUUCAUUUAAUGACAAAAAAUUUGUUAUAAAGCCAAUCAAUAAAAAGCCACCUGAUUUUGGUUUUUAUGCCCCUCACCUGAGAGUCAAUAAGCAGAUUUUGGCCUUAUGUAUGGGAAACCACGAACUAUACAUGCGAAGAAGGAAGCCUGAUACUAUUGAAGUAUGACAGAUGAGGGCUCAGGCUAGGGAGGAGAAACAUCAGAAGCAGUUGGAGAGGGCACAAUUAGAGAAUAAAAAGAAGAAAAGAGAAAUAGCAGAAAAGGAAAGAAUAGAAUGUGAAAAGGAAGAGCUAAUGGAACGUCUAAAACAAAUAGAAGAACAGACGAUUAAAGCCCAGAAAUAACUAGAAGAACAGACGCAAAAAGCUCUAGAACUGGAUCAAGAAUGAAAACAAGCAAAAGAAGCAGCAGAGUGGCUUGAAAAGGAGCGUCGAGCUGCUGAAGAGGCGAAGUCUGCCAUAGCAAAACAAGCUGCCGACCAGAAGAAUCAGGAGCAGCUAGCAGCAAAACUUGCUCAAUUCACUGCCAAGAUUGUACUUCUAGAAGAAGCCAAGAAGAAAAAGGAAGAGGAAGCUACUGAGUGGCAACACAAAGCUUUUGCAGCCCAGAAGACUUGGAAAAGACCAAAGAAGAGUUAAAAACUGUGAUGUCUGCCCCCCCCUCCACCUCCACCACCACCAACACCAGUCAUUCCUUCGACAGAAAACGAACAUGAUGAACAUGAUGAGAUUAAUGCUAAGGCUGGUGCUGAAUUAUCAAAUGAAGGGGUAAUGAACCAUAGAAGCAAAGAAGAACAUGUAACAGAAACACAGAAAAAUGAGCGUGUUAAGAAGCUACUUCAGGCCUUAAGUUCAGAAUUAGCCCAAGCCAGAGAUGAAAGCAAGGAAACACAAAAGGAUGUUCUUCAGGCUAAGAAUGUUAAAACAGGCCAUGGUAAGUACAAGACUCUGUGACCGAUUCGACAAGGCAACACAAAGCAGCGUAUCAAUGAGUUUGAAGC